CCUACGGGAGGCUGCAGUGGGGGAUAUUGCACAAUGGGGGAAACCCUGAUGCAGCGACGCCGCGUGAGUGAAGAAGUAUCUCGGUAUGUAAAGCUCUAUCAGCAGGGAAGUAAAUGACAGUACCUGACCAAGAAGCUCCGGCUAACUACGUGCCAGCAGCCGCGGUAAUACGGAGGGGGCCAGCGUUAUCCGGAUUUACUGGGUGUAAAGGGAGCGUAGACGGUUAUGUAAGUCUGGAGUGAAAGCCCGAGGCCCAACCCCGGGACUGCAUUGGAAACUGUGUAACUGGAGUACAGGAGGGGCAGGCGGAAUUCCUGGUGUAGCGGUGAAAUGCGUAGAUAUCAGGAAGAACACCGACGGCGAAGGCAGCCUGCUGAACUGAAACUGACGUUGAGGCUCGAAAGCGUGGGGAGCAAACAGGAUUAGAUACCCUUGUAGUC
rnacentral:rRNA from 1 species